UAGAUCCAUUUGGUAACAGCUGGAUCAUUCUUCUCUCAUCUGUGCCCAACACGUUUCCAUGGCACUCCCCUCUCUCUCCCCUCUUUCUUUCUUACUUCCUUCCCCCCAACUUCGCACGAAAUUUUUUUUUCCCUCUCGUCUUGGAAUUCGAGCGGCUUCCGCUUUGAAUUCGAAUCCCAAGGUCGUUGUGACUAGAGAACGAGGCAAGAAUGGAAAACUGGUCGAGGCUCUGGCCAAGCAUGGGAUAACCUGUUUGGAACUUCCCCUAAUUCAGCAUGCACAGGGUCCUGAUUUGCAUCGGCUUUCUUCCGUAUUAAAUGCAGAUACUGCAUUUGACUGGAUUAUCAUAACAUCCCCUGAAGCGGGGACAGUUUUUCUGGAAGCAUGGAAGGCAGCUGGAACCCCAAAUGUUAAGGUUGGUGUCGUGGGAGCUGGUACAGCAUGCAUUUUUGAGGAAGUAAUGCAAUCAAGGCAAUCACUUGAUCUGGCCUUUGUCCCAUCAAAAGCAACAGGUCAAGUUUUGGCUUCAGAGCUUCCAAAGAAAGGGAAUAAAAGAUGCACUGUUCUAUAUCCUGCUUCUCUGAAAGCAAGUAAUGAGAUUGAGGAAGGUCUAUCAACUCGUGGAUUUGAGGUUGUCAGGCUUAACACAUAUACAACUGUUCCUGUUCAUCAUGUGGAUCAGAUAGUUUUUCAGGAGGCACUUUCUGUACCUGUUGUUGCAGUUGCUUCACCUUCUGCAGUCCGGGCUUGGUUCAAGCUUAUUUCAGCAUCAAAGGGAUGGAACAAUUCAGUUGCCUGUAUUGGCGAGACAACUGCUUCAGCUGCAAAAAGAUUAGGGUUGAAAAAUGUGUACUACCCAAUGCAACCUGGUUUUGAAGGGUGGGUUGCUAGCAUUCUUGAAGCCUUAAGAGCACAUGACCAGUUGUAGGAGCUGAAAUAAUUCAAGUAGCCUUUUGUCCUCCCUACCAUUCACUUUAAAAGUUGGUAGGAUGAUGAAGUGCUAAAAGGUGCAAGAAUGAGUUCGUGCUAGAAAUGCAGAAGAUAUGGUGAUACUCUGCCUCAAAAAGCUGCAAUAAGAGGGAAAUACUCGACUCAGCAAAA